rnacentral:lncRNA from 1 species
CACCAGUUACAUUAGGCAUACGGUUCAGCCAGAAAUCAGGCAAGUUUUAAUUGCUUAUUACCAAAUAAAUAAAUAAAUAAAUAAAAGUUGCCCCUUCCUACAUCCAGUAGAGGGAGAGGAAGGUGCUUCCAGAGCAGGUAAUUUGAACUACCAAAGUUACGUGCAACAGUUCUCUGCUGUUUGCUGAAAACCUUGUAGCUCAGGCCCUGGAUGUACACUAUCUGAGGAGAAUUUGUCGAAGCAGCUGGAGAUAAUGCACCCAGACCACCCUGCAUUGCUCAGAAGAUGAGAUUCUCUUUUGGGAACUAGAGGAAAGUUUCUCAGGACUGCCAUUUUUUAGCUGAGACCAUGUUGACUGUUGUGUGGAUCUUGGAGAGUCACCUCCCUCAGGGCAAGUCUCCCCCCAGCAGCAGUUACUGCUGUAAAGGAAUCUGCUGGCAACAGAGGUUGUAUCUGUAGCAGUAAAUUUGGGAUGGCCAGGACCACUCCGGGGCAGCGAGGCCAGCUGGCAGAGAACAGCCUGUGUCCAUGCAACUCUCCUACCUUUCAAAAUGCAUCCAGGUUGGAUGUUUCCACAAAAGCUUCAUUUGUGGUUACUUAAAACAUUUGUUCCUAUUGGCACUACAGCACUACCAAGGGAUAGAUGGGCCGGUGACAGGUAGCUUGGCUGACAGGCACCCAGGGGUGCUCAGAGGCAGAUCCCUCCUUUUGGAUCUCCCAAGGCUACCUAGUGGGAGUGUGGGGAGGAGCAGCAGCAGCAUUUCACUGUGCUACAGCUAGGUCUAAAGGCAACAUGUGCCCAAACUCAAAGCUGAUGAGCCCAUCAUGCAGAUAAAGCUGACAGUAUUAGGCACAGCAUAAAUAUCCAUACAAUUUGCCUGUUUACGGGAGCUAGAGAAAAAGCAGCUCUAGGAAUAAGGCUCCUCAGGACAGUGCAGGAGUACCACACAUGCAAGAGUGCUCUGGAAAAUCCCAUCAAACUGGAAGGCAUCCCUUUGAUUACAGGAUUUGUAUAUUUAUUUAUUUUAGGUCAUCACAAAACCACACCAACCAAGGGACAGGACUUCCAAGUAACAAGCAGCCAAGACAGUACAGCUAACACUUCACAACAAAAGUGUGAAGACUGCUUCUGCUCAGCACGUCACAAAAAAACAAACAAGAGCUAUAGCUGUCUCUUCCAUCAAUCUUGGCUUAUUUUUGUCAGCCCUGUGCCUGUACAGCCACAACCCCACCGCCACUUGGCAGCGGAUGGAGAAUCUGAUGGUUUGGUGAAGAGGAGAUGGAUGGUGGUCAGAGGGAGACGGAUGGAUCUCCAGGCUUUCCCUUCCCUUCUGCAAACAGUUUUUGCCUUGCGAGUGUGACUGGGCAGGGAUCACUCAGAAACCCGUGCACUUUGUGGACUCCGUUUCAGAGACGCUGAUCGCACGGACUGCUGUUAAUUCAUCACAGCUUUGCUGGGCUACUUGUCUUCAUUUGCCAUGAACACAAACAAAUUCUACAGACACACCAUAUCAAAUCUGUUCUCCUGAAAAGACACAUUCACUGGUGAAACAAAGAGAAACGUAAUGGCAAUUAAUAAACUAACAUUUACUGCACUAAUUAGCA